GUAGGUGGCAAGCGUUGUCCGGAAUUAUUGGGCGUAAAGCGCGCGCAGGCGGUCCUUUAAGUCUGAUGUGAAAGCCCACGGGCUCUACCGUGGAGGGUCAUUGGAAACUGGAGGACUUGAGUACAGAAGAGGAAAGCGGAAUUCCAAGUGUAGCGGUGAAAUGCGUAGAGAUUUGGAGGAACACCAGUGGCGAAGGCGGCUUUCUGGUCUGUAACUGACGCUGAGGCGCGAAAGCGUGGGGAGCAAACAGGAUUAGAUACCCUGGUAGUCCACGCCGUAAACGAUGAGUGCUAAGUGUUAGGGGGUUUCCGCCCCUUAGUGCUGCAGCUAACGCAUUAAGCACUCCGCCUGGGGAGUACGGCCGCAAAGGCUG
rnacentral:rRNA from 1 species